UACGGGGGGGAGCAAGCGUUGUUCGGAUUUACUGGGCGUAAAGGGCGCGUAGGCGGUCAGCACAAGUCAGUUGUGAAAUCUCCGGGCUUAACUCGGAAAGGUCAACUGAUACUGUGCGACUAGAGUGCAGAAGGGGCAACUGGAAUUCGUCGGUGUAGCGGUGAAAUGCGCAGAUAUCAGGAGGAACACCAAUUGCGAAGGCAGCUCGCUGGAACGUAACUGACGCUGAGACGCGAAAGCGUGGGGAGCAAACAGG
rnacentral:rRNA from 1 species